rnacentral:rRNA from 1 species
UACGUAGGGGGCGAGCGUUGUCCGGAAUCAUUGGGCGUAAAGAGCUCGUAGGCGGUUCGAUAAGUCGGACGUGAAAUCUCCACGCUCAACGUGGAGGGGCCGUUCGAUACUGUCGUGACUCGAGUCCGGUAGGGGAGUGUGGAAUUCCCGGUGUAGCGGUGAAAUGCGCAGAGAUCGGGAGGAACACCCGUAGCGAAGGCGGCACUCUGGGCCGGUACUGACGCUGAGGAGCGAAAGCGUGGGGAGCAAACAGG